rnacentral:rRNA from 1 species
GACGAACGCUGGCGGCGUGCUUAACACAUGCAAGUCGAACGGAAAGGCCCUGCUUUUGUGGGGUGCUCGAGUGGCGAACGGGUGAGUAACACGUGAGUAACCUGCCCUUGACUUUGGGAUAACUUCAGGAAACUGGGGCUAAUACAGGAUAGGAGCUCCUGCUGCAUGGUGGGGGUUGGAAAGUUUCGGCGGUUGGGGAUGGACUCGCGGCUUAUCAGCUUGUUGGUGGGGUAGUGGCUUACCAAGGCUUUGACGGGUAGCCGGCCUGAGAGGGUGACCGGCCACAUUGGGACUGAGAUACGGCCCAGAGUCCUACGGGGGGCAGCAGUGGGGAAUAUUGCACAAUGGGCGGAAGCCUGAUGCAGCAACGCCGCGUGCGGGAUGACGGCCUUCGGGUUGUAAACCGCUUUCGCCUGUGACGAAGCGUGAGUGACGGUAAUGGGUAAAGAAGCACCGGCUAACUACGUG